AACAUACCUAUAGUUGCUUCGGCGGGACCGCCCCGGCGCGCCCCCUAGGGGGCUUGCCCGGAACCAGGCGCCCGCCGGAGACCACAAACUCUUGUUUUUUCCCGCACACGCGGCAGUAGAUUCUCUGAGUGGCAAACGCAAAAUAAAUCAAAACUUUCAACAACGGAUCUCUUGGCUCUGGCAUCGAUGAAGAACGCAGCGAAAUGCGAUAAGUAAUGUGAAUUGCAGAAUUCAGUGAAUCAUCGAAUCUUUGAACGCACAUUGCGCCCGCUAGCACUCUAGCGGGCAUGCCUGUCCGAGCGUCAUUUCAACCCUCAGACCCCCUUCGGGGGACUGGCGUUGGGGGAUCGGCCCGCCUCAGUGCGGUGCCGUCCCCCAAAUACAGUGGCGGUCUCGCUGCAGCCUCCCCUGCGUAGUAGCACACCUCGCAUCGGAGAGCGGUGAGGCCACGCCGUGAAACCCCCAACUUCUGAACGUUGACCUCGGAUCAGGUAGGAAUACCCGCUGAACUUAAGCAUAUCAUAA
rnacentral:rRNA from 1 species